UACGUAGGGUGCGAGCGUUGUCCGGAAUUAUUGGGCGUAAAGGGCUCGUAGGCGGUUUGUCACGUCAGGAGUGAAAACUCGGGGCUCAACCCCGAGCCUGCUUCUGAUACGGGCAGACUGGAGGUAUGCAGGGGAGAACGGAAUUCCUGGUGUAGCGGUGAAAUGCGCAGAUGUCAGGAGGAACACCGGUGGCGAAGGCGGUUCUCUGGGCAUUACCUGACGCUGAGGAGCGAAAGUGUGGGGAGCGAACAGG
rnacentral:rRNA from 1 species